rnacentral:rRNA from 1 species
UACGUAGGGCGCAAGCGUUAUCCGGAAUUAUUGGGCGUAAAGAGCUCGUAGGCGGUUUGUCGCGUCUGCCGUGAAAGUCCGGGGCUCAACUCCGGAUCUGCGGUGGGUACGGGCAGACUAGAGUGCAGUAGGGGAGACUGGAAUUCCCGGUGUAGCGGUGAAAUGCGUAGAGAUCGGGAGGAACACCAGUGGCGAAGGCGGCACCCUGGACCAGCACUGACACUGAGGCACGAAAGCGUGGGGAGCAAACAGG